rnacentral:rRNA from 1 species
AGCGUACACGGUGGAUGCCCUGGCAGUCAGAGGCGAUGAAGGACGUGCUAAUCUGCGAUAAGCGUCGGUAAGGUGAUAUGAACCGUUAUAACCGGCGAUUUCCGAAUGGGGAAACCCAGUGUGAUUCGUCACACUAUCAUUAACUGAAUCCAUAGGUUAAUGAGGCGAACCGGGGGAACUGAAACAUCUAAGUACCCCGAGGAAAAGAAAUCAACCGAGAUUCCCCCAGUAGCGGCGAGCGAACGGGGAGCAGCCCAGAGCCUGAAUCAGUGUGUGUGUUAGUGGAAGCGUCUGGAAAGGCGCGCGAUACAGGGUGACAGCCCCGUACACAAAAAUGCACAUGCUGUGAGCUCGAUGAGUAGGGCGGGACACGUGGUAUCCUGUCUGAAUAUGGGGGGACCAUCCUCCAAGGCUAAAUACUCCUGACUGACCGAUAGUGAACCAGUACCGUGAGGGAAAGGCGAAAAGAACCCCGGCGAGGGGAGUGAAAAAGAACCUGAAACCGUGUACGUACAAGCAGUGGGAGCACAGAGCAAUCUGUGUGACUGCGUACCUUUUGUAUAAUGGGUCAGCGACUUAUAUUCUGUAGCAAGGUUAACCGAAUAGGGGAGCCGAAGGGAAACCGAGUCUUAACUGGGCGUUAAGUUGCAGGGUAUAGACCCGAAACCCGGUGAUCUAGCCAUGGGCAGGUUGAAGGUUGGGUAACACUAACUGGAGGACCGAACCGACUAAUGUUGAAAAAUUAGCGGAUGACUUGUGGCUGGGGGUGAAAGGCCAAUCAAACCGGGAGAUAGCUGGUUCUCCCCGAAAGCUAUUUAGGUAGCGCCUCGUGAAUUCAUCUCCGGGGGUAGAGCACUGUUUCGGCAAGGGGGUCAUCCCGACUUACCAACCCGAUGCAAACUGCGAAUACCGGAGAAUGUUAUCACGGGAGACACACGGCGGGUGCUAACGUCCGUCGUGAAGAGGGAAACAACCCAGACCGCCAGCUAAGGUCCCAAAGUCAUGGUUAAGUGGGAAACGAUGUGGGAAGGCCCAGACAGCCAGGAUGUUGGCUUAGAAGCAGCCAUCAUUUAAAGAAAGCGUAAUAGCUCACUGGUCGAGUCGGCCUGCGCGGAAGAUGUAACGGGGCUAAACCAUGCACCGAAGCUGCGGCAGCGACGCUUAUGCGUUGUUGGGUAGGGGAGCGUUCUGUAAGCCUGUGAAGGUGUACUGUGAGGUAUGCUGGAGGUAUCAGAAGUGCGAAUGCUGACAUAAGUAACGAUAAAGCGGGUGAAAAGCCCGCUCGCCGGAAGACCAAGGGUUCCUGUCCAACGUUAAUCGGGGCAGGGUGAGUCGACCCCUAAGGCGAGGCCGAAAGGCGUAGUCGAUGGGAAACAGGUUAAUAUUCCUGUACUUGGUGUUACUGCGAAGGGGGGACGGAGAAGGCUAUGUUGGCCGGGCGACGGUUGUCCCGGUUUAAGCGUGUAGGCUGGUUUUCCAGGCAAAUCCGGAAAAUCAAGGCUGAGGCGUGAUGACGAGGCACUACGGUGCUGAAGCAACAAAUGCCCUGCUUCCAGGAAAAGCCUCUAAGCAUCAGGUAACAUCAAAUCGUACCCCAAACCGACACAGGUGGUCAGGUAGAGAAUACCAAGGCGCUUGAGAGAACUCGGGUGAAGGAACUAGGCAAAAUGGUGCCGUAACUUCGGGAGAAGGCACGCUGAUACGUAGGUGAAGUCCCUCGCGGAUGGAGCUGAAAUCAGUCGAAGAUACCAGCUGGCUGCAACUGUUUAUUAAAAACACAGCACUGUGCAAACACGAAAGUGGACGUAUACGGUGUGACGCCUGCCCGGUGCCGGAAGGUUAAUUGAUGGGGUCAGCGCAAGCGAAGCUCUUGAUCGAAGCCCCGGUAAACGGCGGCCGUAACUAUAACGGUCCUAAGGUAGCGAAAUUCCUUGUCGGGUAAGUUCCGACCUGCACGAAUGGCGUAAUGAUGGCCAGGCUGUCUCCACCCGAGACUCAGUGAAAUUGAACUCGCUGUGAAGAUGCAGUGUACCCGCGGCAAGACGGAAAGACCCCGUGAACCUUUACUAUAGCUUGACACUGAACAUUGAGCCUUGAUGUGUAGGAUAGGUGGGAGGCUUUGAAGUGUGGACGCCAGUCUGCAUGGAGCCGACCUUGAAAUACCACCCUUUAAUGUUUGAUGUUCUAACGUGGACCCGUGAUCCGGGUUGCGGACAGUGUCUGGUGGGUAGUUUGACUGGGGCGGUCUCCUCCUAAAGAGUAACGGAGGAGCACGAAGGUUGGCUAAUCCUGGUCGGACAUCAGGAGGUUAGUGCAAUGGCAUAAGCCAGCUUGACUGCGAGCGUGACGGCGCGAGCAGGUGCGAAAGCAGGUCAUAGUGAUCCGGUGGUUCUGAAUGGAAGGGCCAUCGCUCAACGGAUAAAAGGUACUCCGGGGAUAACAGGCUGAUACCGCCCAAGAGUUCAUAUCGACGGCGGUGUUUGGCACCUCGAUGUCGGCUCAUCACAUCCUGGGGCUGAAGUAGGUCCCAAGGGUAUGGCUGUUCGCCAUUUAAAGUGGUACGCGAGCUGGGUUUAGAACGUCGUGAGACAGUUCGGUCCCUAUCUGCCGUGGGCGCUGGAGAACUGAGGGGGGCUGCUCCUAGUACGAGAGGACCGGAGUGGACGCAUCACUGGUGUUCGGGUUGUCAUGCCAAUGGCACUGCCCGGUAGCUAAAUGCGGAAGAGAUAAGUGCUGAAAGCAUCUAAGCACGAAACUUGCCCCGAGAUGAGUUCUCCCUGACUCCUUGA